CCAUACACUCCCCAGCGAAAUCAUAAACUGCGGACUGCAGAUGAAAAUGAAAGUAUUAAAAACGUAAAAAAAAAAAAUAACACGUUAAAUAAAUAUAAAAAUCAAAAUUAAAUUAUUAAACAAAGACGCAAAACAAUUUCCUGUGCAUUUAAUUUUAAAAAAAAAAAUUAACAUUUUUAAAUCACGUAAAUCUCCAGUACUUUGCAAUACGUAGCUUUUUUAAAUGGACUCUCAGGAAAAAAAAAUAAAAUAAAUAGAUAACUUUCAAAUCUAUAAGAAAGAGUGAAAAAAUCUCAUCGUUCAACUCUACCAUGUCAGCUGUCGUCUUCUGAACAUGGCACCGGAAGUCAACAAGUUGUUCAUAAUAUGCACACACCCUUAUUUUCUCAUAGCCGUGUGCCGUUUGGAUAUAAACCCUGAUGGCCGAUAACAACCACUACAUACUACUAUACACUAGUAUUUUUCCCUCUUCUCUGCUCAUACCCUCAAAUAGAAAAAAAAAAAAACGAAGUCUAUACUGGUGAUGUAUCCGAUACUACACAAAAGCUGCGAGUGGUUAUUCGUCGUCACUCUGCUCUCUAGUUUUAUUGGAACAUAUAUAUUGAGUAUAUGAGUACAUAUAUGGGCAUCGCAGCAAAGGGAUAUAUAAGGACUGUACUGAUACGAGAAGAAGACUCAACUCGAGAAUUCAAAGCUAUUGAAAUAUCACGAGCUAUAUAUAUGUAAAAAAAAAAAAAAAAAUAAUAAACACGUGAUAGUCUGACAAUAGUUUAAAUUUCUUAUCUGGCUACGGAAAAAGUGUCAUCAAAUAAAAUAAAAAUAAAUGGAAAUAAAAUGAAGAGGAAAAGAAAAGCAGAAUUACUCUCGUUUGCGCUUACGGAGGGUGAAGUAGUGCGAUUAUUUUCUCAGCGAAUGGAUCCUUUUUCAAGUAGACCGGACAUUCCUCGACAAGGCAAUGAGACGAAAUUACUUAAACUAUUACUUGGCUUGGCUCUCUUGUUGAGAUACAGAGGAUAAAAGUCUUUUAACAUUUUUUCAAUUUAAUUCAACGCUUACUCGUUAACCUUUUAACAGGUUCCGGGGAUACAGUUUGAAUGGCUGGACGUGAAUGCUCUUGUUUUAAAUAAAAAGUUUAAUAAAGAUUUUAAAUGAUAUUUUAUUUUAUCGCAACUGUUUAUUUAACUUUUAUUGUUGAUUUUCUAUUCAAUUUUGCCAAUAAAAUAAACUGUUAAAAAUUCAUUUCCAAACAUUGGCUGGCGAAAGAUUUCCUAAUUUAUUUUUAUUUAAUAUGGCUAGUGUAAAUUAUUUAAAACAAUAGCAAAUAAAUGAAUUACUACGGAAUGAAAAAAUAAGUGGUAGUGUAUUGGAAAAAAAUCUAUAUUUCUAUCGCCACAAGAGUAACCCCAGUAAUAAAGAUCGAGUGAGAGUUUGAGGGUUGUCAUGAAGGGAUGGAGCUUUUGAUAUUUAUGCGCUAUAAAAGAGCGUCCAGAAGUGUGGGUUAGACAAGGGCAGUAGUGGAGUCAAGGGUGACGUGACCGGACAUAGUUUUCGGGGGAACACCUCACUUUAUCUUUAACUCCUCCUUCUUUUGCUUUCCUUCUUCACUUUCACAAUAUAUACACUUACUUACUUACUUACUGGUAUAUAAAGCGCCCUGUUACUUGAAACCACGUACGCCGCAAGUGACCGAUUUACUUACACAAUACACGGGUACGCUGCCCUAGAGGGCCAUCAAAUCUCAAAGACGCGUGAUAACUGAGAUCAAAGAUUCAACUUCCAAACCAAGUGCCUGUUAUGAUGGAUAAUGAAUAAAAGUAUCUUCUACCAUCACUACUACUACUACUACUGCUUCUACUACUAGAACUACUACUGCCACUGAGGGUGAGAAAAGUGUCUUUCAAUACUCAAGAUUGUACUGAGAACAUAUAAAAAAUUUAUUUUUAUUUACUCAGUUAGAAGAACAAAAAAUGAAAAUAUCCAAGAAAUUUUUAUUCUUUAAUUUUUUUUUUUUUUUUAUACAAGUUUAUGAAGAAAUAAACAUUUAUGUGAUAAUAUAAAUAUAUAUAUAAAUAAAGUAAUUAAAAUUUUUUAUUUUCAUAGCGGACAUAAAAAAAGUGACGAUUUUUUUUGCUAAAAAUAGGAUUUUUUGGGUUUACAUAUUCACAUAUUUAAUAUAAAAUUAAUUUGUUCAGUGCAGAGGGUUUUUCAAAGAGCAAUGCCACGUAUCAGCCAGUCUUCCAUAAGUCAUAAAAGAUAUUUUUAUAAAAAAAUGAGAAAUCAUACGAUUAUUUUUUUAAUUAAACUAUGUGGGGAAUCCCAUACUAAUAAAUGAAAAAAACACAACACUAAUAUGUUAGUAAUUGCGUUUUUUUUUUAUUAUUCAUUGCCUGCGGCUUAUUUUCUCUCUCACAAAUUAAUAAUAUAACUCAUAAUACACACACAAAUAUAUAAAUUUAUCAUAUAAGAGGAUGUCGGUGUCAACUGCGGCAGAAGCAUUUCAAAAUAAUUGUUUUAAAAAAUAACAGUAGUAAGAUUUUUACUUAUUGAAAAUGCUACUGUUGGUUAUAUUUUAUUUAGUGAUUGUUAGUGACGCACAAGUAAAGUUUAAGGUAGAAAAUGGCUUACAAACUGGAAGUAACUGUUUUAUAGAUGGUGAUUGUUGUUCCAAAUUGUGUUUGAUCAUAAGCAAUACUACUUUCUGUGAGUGCUCGCAACUAGUGAACAAUGUUACGUCAAUAAAAAUCAAUCAUCCAUCGACUUUCGCUCGUGCUAAACUUAAAGAAGAACAAGUCGAAAUAAGACGAUGUAUUCCAGAUAAUCAACAAUGUCUCAAAGAUACUGAUUGUUGCUCUAAUAAGUGUGGACGUGUAACUGGGAAGAAUUUUUAUAGUUGCGGUUUAGAAAAACAGCCUCUUGAGAAAUAUUUGUCACCUUUAAUUAUUAGACGACUAACAUAUUGCCGUUUACCUGGACACUAUUGUAUUGCAGAUGAUGAUUGCUGUUCUAGAAAAUGCGUGGCCAUGCCUACUUCUCCAAAACUUCAUUAUUGCAUUACAGGAUAUAAAUAAAUUCAGCUGUGAAAUACCAGGAACUAUAUAUGGCCUCAAUUGAAAUUUUUAAGCUUUAAAACCAAAAACAAUUUUUUUUAAAUGUUUUUGUUUUUGCGAUAAGUUAAUGUCAAUUAAUAAGUCAAUAUCGUAUUUCUAAUAAAUUUGAAAUCUAAAGACCAACAUAAAAUUUUAUUUUUAUUUUAUAAUUUGUAAAGUUUCAAUGGUUUUCAAUCACAAAAAUUAUGGAAACUUUUUUUCUAUUAUGAUUAAGUAACGCCGGGCAAGAUGGAGCCAUAUUAUAUUUCUUCGUGUGAUGCGAGUAAAAAAAUAUCAUUCAAAAUACAAUUUAAGAAUAAAAGUAUAAAAAAAAAAAUAUCUAUAAAAAAUUUUUAUAAAAACAAAUGUCUUAGGCAUCAAAAUUUUUUUUUCUUGGAAAUUUUUGGGCCCCUAUUGUGUCCGACUUAUUUUUAUCAUACAAAAACAUACAUAUUUAUAGGGAAGUAUAUUGACAGUGUCAUAAGGUCGGAAAAAUAGUAAAGUCUAUAAAGUUAUUAACGGCUCGUAAAAUAUUGCAAAAGCGCAUGCGCGCUCAUCAUAACCUAGAGCUGAAUGGAAUUGAAUGCAUAUUGAAAUACUGUAGUCAAUCUAGUGUUAACUUUUUGUGAAGGUCAUUAAUUGCCUCGAAUCGUUUUCUUUUUUUUUUCGUUUUUUAUCUCUUACGUCACUCGUGUUUAUUUGAACCACAGGUGUACUUACUCAGUACCGAGUAAGGCAGUGAUACUCGAAAAGAAUGAAUUCAAACAGUUAUAAUCAUCCUGUGUAUUCUUAUUUAAAUUAUACAAAGAUGUUACUAUUCGUAGUUUUCAAUUUAUUAAUUAUUAUGGAAAUACAAGCGAGAUGGAUACAAGAAAGCUGUUUACCCGAAGUCAGCAACUGUUCUAGGAAUGCUGAUUGUUGUUCUAACCAGUGUACGCAUACUGCAGACAAUUUGAUGGGUACUUGUGAUUCAGAAACACAGUAUAUAAAUGACAUAUCUAUGAUUAUACCAUUGAGUGUUCAAGUACCGACAUUUUGCAUCUUAUAUGGAAAUUGCACGAAAGAUGAUGAGUGCUGUACUAAAGAAUGUGUUUCACGGGAUAAUACUGUUAUUAAAUACUGUAAGCCGGAAUAUCCCAACAAUUAUAUUGUUUAUGAUUAAUAAAUUCUUAAAGCAGCUUUGUUAAUUCUAUUGUUUGAAAAUAUAUAAAUGUAAAAAAGGUCUAUGUUGUUCUUUGUAAUAAAAAAAAAAAAUUAGGGCUAUUUUAUAUCCAGAAAUUUUAUUUUAUAAAAAAGCUUAUGGGGUCCAUUUUUCCAGCGUGCGCUUUAUGAUAAAUGUAUAAAAAAAUAAAAAAGUAUGAAAGUGGUGUUAUGACACUCUGAGAACAAGUGUGUAAUUAAAAAUAUCACACCUGUCUUCAAAGUGAGAAAAGUUAUUUUUAGUUUUUUAUGUUAUAUCAUUAUUAUUUUAAUUCGAAAUUAAUUUUAAAGAGAAG